AACUGCGAAUGGCUCAUUAAAUCAGUUAUCGUUUAUUUGAUAGUACCUUACUACUUGGAUAACCGUGGUAAUUCUAGAGCUAAUACAUGCUAAAAACCCCGACUUCGGGAGGGGUGUAUUUAUUAGAUAAAAAACCAAUGCCCUUCGGGGCUCUUUGGUGAUUCAUAAUAACUUCUCAGAUCGCAUUUGGCCUUGCGCCGGCGACGGUUCAUUCAAAUUUCUGCCCUAUCAACUUUCGAUGGUAAGGUAUUGGCUUACCAUGGUUUCAACGGGUAACGGGGAAUUAGGGUUCGAUUCCGGAGAGGGAGCCUGAGAAACGGCUACCACAUCCAAGGAAGGCAGCAGGCGCGCAAAUUACCCAAUUCCAACACGGAGAGGUAGUGACAAUACAUACUGAUACAGGGCUCUUUUGGGUCUUGUAAUUGGAAUGAGUACAAUUUAAACCUCUUAACGAGGAACAAUUGGAGGGCAAGUCUGGUGGACAUUCAGCUCCCAUUCUGCUGACGCCAGAGAUAGCCGGGCAGCCUCGUGUAACGGGAUGCCGGCUAGUCGAGUACCUGCUAAUUGAUGGGGAGGUACCGGCAAGACAACCUGGAUCGGGGAAGGCUAAGGCACUAAAGAUGAUGCUAUGCUAAUCCCGAGCAGAGCUGCCAUGGAGCGAUCCGUGGAUAGCCUGUGUAGAGCGCGGUAAGGUGUCGGUCAGCUCACGUAGUUGGCUUAAGGGACGUGCCAUUCCCACCCGAAAGGGUGGGCUGCCAGCAUGAGCGCCCAUCACGUAAGGGCUGGCAGGAAAAAUCAACAGGCCAGCAGCCGCGGUAAUUCCAGCUCCAAUAGCGUAUAUUAAAGUUGUUGCAGUUAAAAAGCUCGUAGUUGAACCUUUGGCCUGGCUGGCAGGUCCGCCUCACCGCGUGCACUUGACCGGCCGGGCCUUUUCUUCUGGAGAACCGCAUGCCCUUCACUGGGUGUGUUGGGGACCAGGACUUUUACUUUGAAAAAAUUAGAGUGUUCAAAGCAGGCCUUUGCUCGAAUACGUUAGCAUGGAAUAAUAGAAUAGGACGUGCGGUCCUAUUUUGUUGGUUUCUAGGACCGCCGUAAUGAUUAAUAGGGACAGUCGGGGGCAUCAGUAUUCAAUUGUCAGAGGUGAAAUUCUUGGAUUUAUUGAAGACUAACUACUGCGAAAGCAUUUGCCAAGGAUGUUUUCAUUAAUCAGUGAACGAAAGUUAGGGGAUCGAAGACGAUCAGAUACCGUCGUAGUCUUAACCAUAAACUAUGCCGACUAGGGAUCGGGCGGUGUUUCUAUUGUGACCCGCUCGGCACCUUACGAGAAAUCAAAGUGUUUGGGU
rnacentral:rRNA from 1 species